rnacentral:rRNA from 1 species
ACGAACGCUGGCGGCGUGCUUAACCCAUGCAAGUCGCACGGAAAGGCCCUGCUUUUGUGGGGUGCUCGAGUGGCGAACGGGUGAGUAACACGUGAGUAACCUGCCCUUGACUUUGGGAUAACUUCAGGAAACUGGGGCUAAUACCGGAUAGGAGCUCCUGCUGCAUGGUGGGGGUUGGAAAGUUUCGGCGGUUGGGGAUGGACUCGCGGCUUAUCAGCUUGUUGGUGGGGUAGUGGCUUACCAAGGCUUUGACGGGUAGCCGGCCUGAGAGGGUGACCGGCCACAUUGGGACUGAGAUACGGCCCAGACUCCUACGGGAGGCAGCAGUGGGGAAUAUUGCACAAUGGGCGGAAGCCUGAUGCAGCAACGCCGCGUGCGGGAUGACGGCCUUCGGGUUGUAAGCCGCUUUCGCCUGUGACGAAGCGUGAGUGACGGUAAUGGGUAAAGAAGCACCGGCUAACUACGUG